UCCUUAUCAAGAGAGACUGAGGGAUUGGCCCAAUGAAGUCUCAGCAACCAGCAGGUAUCAUUAGCCUGUAUGGUGCUAAAUCCAACAGAUUGUGUUUCUGAGAGAUGAGGA
rfam:Clostridiales bacterium oral taxon 876 str. F0540 genomic scaffold Scaffold25, whole genome shotgun sequence.